GUGCUCACUUGAGCAGCACAUACACUAAAAUUGGGAUGAUACAGAGAAGAUUAGCAUGGCUCCUGCACAGGAUGACACUCUAAUUCCUGAAGCAGUCCUUAUGGGU